rnacentral:rRNA from 1 species
AUUGAACGCUGGCGGCAGGCCUAACACAUGCAAGUCGAACGAGUGGCGGACGGGUGAGUAAUGUCUGGGAAACUGCCUGAUGGAGGGGGAUCACUACUGGAAACGGUAGCUAAUACCGCAUACCAUCAGAUGUGCCCAGAUGGGCUUAGCUUGUUGGUGGGGUAAAGGCGCACCAAGGCGACGAUCCGUAGUUGGUCUGAGAGGAUGACCAGCCACACUGGAACUGAGACACGGUCCAGACUCCUACGGGAGGCAGCAGUGGGGAAUAUUGCACAAUGGGCGCAAGCCUGAUGCAGCCAUGCCGCGUGUAUGAAGAAGGCCUUCGGGUUGUAAAGUACUUUCAGCGGGGAGGCGUUACCAACAGAAGAAGCACCGGCUAACUCCGUGCCAGCCGCCGCGGUAAUUC